rnacentral:rRNA from 1 species
AGUGAACGCUGGCGGUAGGCCUAACACAUGCAAGUCGAACGGCAGCACAGUAAGAGCUUGCUCUUACGGGUGGCGAGUGGCGGACGGGUGAGGAAUACAUCGGAAUCUACUUUUUCGUGGGGGAUAACGUAGGGAAACUUACGCUAAUACCGCAUACGACCUACGGGUGAAAGCAGGGGAUCUUCGGACCUUGCGCGAUUGAAUGAGCCGAUGUCGGAUUAGCUAGUUGGCGGGGUAAAGGCCCACCAAGGCGACGAUCCGUAGCUGGUCUGAGAGGAUGAUCAGCCAUACUGGAACUGAGACACGGUCCAGACUCCUACGGGAGGCAGCAGUGGGGAAUAUUGGACAAUGGGCGCAAGCCUGAUCCAGCCAUACCGCGUGGGUGAAGAAGGCCUUCGGGUUGUAAAGCCCUUUUGUUGGGAAAGAAAAGCAGCAGGUUAAUACCCCGCUGCUCUGACGGUACCCAAAGAAUAAGCACCGGCUAACUUCGUG